CUAUGUUUGCAUGUAUUCUGAAGGCAUCAGAUCUCAUCUGAUCUUGGGAGCUAAGUAGGAUCGUGCCUGGUUAGUAAUGGGAUGUGACACCAUCAGAGAAUACUAUGUUGAAAUCAUUGG
rnacentral:rRNA from 1 species